rnacentral:lncRNA from 1 species
GAUCCCCUUUUAUUUAGGAAAUAGCAGAAAUGUCAUACCGAGUAGGGUUUGGAAGAACGAUAUUUCCAUUUUUCCUUUAAAAAUUAGACUAUAGUAUUACUCCGUGCAAUAAUCAACUAUGUCAACAAAAGUGCCAAAAAAAGUUAUAUGAUAUUGUUGCACAAGAGUCACCUGGUGUAAUAAUCGGCUGGGUUGAAAAAGGUGACAAAUAUAGCUCAACGGGCUGUUUGGUGCCGGACUAACCGAUGCAAGAGACUAUCCUGAAAGGAGAUAAGCAACAAAGGGAGUCCAAGGCCCAGUCUGGAAGCAGAACAAUCUUGGUCCCUUAUCCCACCUUGAUUCAUUGAUAAAUGUCAACCAUGGUAUUUGACGCUUGGAACCACCGAUCCCCCAGACACUUCAAGCAAACGUACAAAAAUCUAAAAGUCAUUUCUGAACGGGACUCCUGCUACUAAUAGAGUCUAUCAAUCCUGUGACUUUAAAAAAAAUAAACAAAAAAA